rnacentral:misc_RNA from 1 species
GUAGAAGGUAAAGAAGGGUCAGCAACAAUUUGUGAGGGUAAUAAGGGAAUUGUGGCUGAUUUUGACCCUGAGAUUGAGAAUGGUGGUGGUACUGAUGAGGGUAAUAGGGUUAAUAGGCAAAUGAGUGAAAGUUCUAUUUAUACUACUGAUCAUGAAGAGGAUGAUGAUGAAGCUAAUCACAAGAUUGAGUUAGGUCCUCAAUGUACACUCAAAGAAACAUUUGAAAAGGAUAAGGAUGAUGAGA